rnacentral:rRNA from 1 species
AUCGGCCCGCGUCUGAUUAGCUAGUUGGUGGGGUAACGGCCUACCAAGGCGACGAUCAGUAGCUGGUCUGAGAGGAUGAUCAGCCACACUGGGACUGAGACACGGCCCANACUCCUACGGGAGGCAGCAGUGGGGAAUAUUGGACAAUGGGCGCAAGCCUGAUCCAGCCAUGCCGCGUGAGUGAUGAAGGCCUUAGGGUUGUAAAGCUCUUUUAUCCGGGACGAUAAUGACGGUACCGGAGGAAUAAGCCCCGGCUAACUUCGUGCCAGCAGCCGCGGUAAUACGAAGGGGGCUAGCGUUGCUCGGAAUCACUGGGCGUAAAGGGCGCGUAGGCGGCGUUUUAAGUCGGGGGUGAAAGCCUGUGGCUCAACCACAGAAUGGCCUUCGAUACUGGGACGCUUGAGUAUGGUAGAGGUUGGUGGAACUGCGAGUGUAGAGGUGAAAUUCGUAGAUAUUCGCAAGAACACCGGUGGCGAAGGCGGCCAACUGGACCAUUACUGACGCUGANGCGCGAAAGCGUGGGGGAGCAAACAGGAUUAGAUACCCUGGUAGUCCACGCCGUAAACGAUGAAUGCC